rnacentral:rRNA from 1 species
GACGAACGCUGGCGGCGUGCUUAACACAUGCAAGUCGAACGCUGAGGCUCGGCUUUUGUUCGGUUGAUGAGUGGCGAACGCGUGAGUAACACGUGAGUAACCUGCCCCCUUCUUUGGGAUAACGCCCGGGAACAGGUGCUAAUACUGCGUAUUAACUGGUCUUCGCCUGGGGUUUGGUGGAAAGGGCUUUUCUGGUGGGGGAUGGGCUCGCGGCCUGUCAGCUUGUUGUUGGGGUGAUGGUCUACCGAGGCUUUGGCGAGUAGCCGGGGUGAGCGGGUGAACUGUCACAGAGGGACGGACCUACGGCCCAGACGAGUACGGGAGGCAGAAGUGGGGAAAAUGGGCCAAUGGGCGACAGAGUGAUGCAGCGACGCUGAGGGAGGGCUGCAGGUCGUAGGGUUGUGAAACUCUGUCGCUAAUGGUGAAGACGUAACAAUGGUUGUGGUGACGGUAGUGGGUAAAGAAGCGCCGGCUAACUACGUG